UAAGUUCAGCCCAUGGAGGAAAAGAA
rnacentral:piRNA from 1 species